rnacentral:rRNA from 1 species
UACAGAGGGUGCGAGCGUUAAUCGGAAUUACUGGGCGUAAAGCGUGCGCAGGCGGUUUUGUAAGACAGGCGUGAAAUCCCCGGGCUCAACCUGGGAAUUGCGCUUGUGACUGCAAGGCUAGAGUGCGUCAGAGGGGGGUAGAAUUCCACGUGUAGCAGUGAAAUGCGUAGAGAUGUGGAGGAAUACCGAUGGCGAAGGCAGCCCCCUGGGACGUGACUGACGCUCAUGCACGAAAGCGUGGGGAGCAAACAGG